AUUGAACGCUGGCGGAAUGCUUUACACAUGCAAGUCGAACGGUAGAGGGGGCAACCCCUCGAGAGUGGCGAACGGGUGAGUAAUAUAUCGGAACGUGCCCAGUCGUGGGGGAUAACGUAGCGAAAGUUACGCUAAUACCGCAUACGAUCUACGGAUGAAAGCGGGGGAUCGCAAGACCUCGCGCGAUUGGAGCGGCCGAUAUCAGAUUAGGUAGUUGGUGGGGUAAAGGCUCACCAAGCCAACGAUCUGUAGCUGGUCUGAGAGGACGACCAGCCACACUGGAACUGAGACACGGUCCAGACUCCUACGGGAGGCAGCAGUGGGGAAUUUUGGACAAUGGACGCAAGUCUGAUCCGGCCAUUCCGCGUGCAGGAUGAAGGCCCUCGGGUUGUAAACUGCUUUUGUACGGAACGAAAAGGUUUCUAUUAAUACGGGGGGCUCGAUGACGGUACCGUAAGAAUAAGCACCGGCUAACUACGUGCCAGCAGCCGC
rnacentral:rRNA from 1 species